UAGGGAAUCUUCGGCAAUGGACGAAAGUCUGACCGAGCAACGCCGCGUGAGUGAAGAAGGUUUUCGGAUCGUAAAACUCUGUUGUUAGAGAAGAACAAGGACGUUAGUAACUGAACGUCCCCUGACGGUAUCUAACCAGAAAGCCACGGCUAACUACGUGCCAGCAGCCGCGGUAAUACGUAGGUGGCAAGCGUUGUCCGGAUUUAUUGGGCGUAAAGCGCACGCAGGCGGUUGAUUGAGUCAGAUGUGAAAUCCCCGGGCUUAACCCGGGAAUUGCAUCUGAUACUGGUCAGCUAGAGUCUUGUAGAGGGGGGUAGAAUUCCAUGUGUAGCGAUGAAAUGCGUAGAGAUGUGGAGGAAUACCGGUGGCGAAGGCGGCCCCCUGGACAAAGACUGACGCUCAGGUGCGAAAGCGUGGGGAGCAAACAGG
rnacentral:rRNA from 1 species